UUUAAAUUAUUUUUACUAUAUUCUCUAGUCGUUUAUCGUUUAGCUAUAACAUUUUUUUAAAUAAAAAUUAAAGGUAGGAGAUAGGGAAAAGGGAAAGAAAAAUUGGGGAAAAGAAAAUGGGUUUUUAUGGUUAUUAUGAAUGCUCGAUUGAUUUCUCAUAGAUUAUGCUGGAAUCAACUUAAUAGUGUGCCGAUACUAUCCGACUUUGCCGUUAUCUGGUCGAUUUAUGAAUAAUGAAAUGAUGAUAAAAAUGUCUUUAGUUUAUAGAAUCAAAAAAUAUAACAAUAAAAUUAAAGCACAUAAAAGCGAAUAAAAUAUUCCAAUAAAAAGAAUAAUUAGCCGUGGCGCUUUAGCAUGUUUAACAUCCAGAUAAUAAAGAAAAUGAAAGGAGGGGGUUGCACCCAUAACCCCCCCUACUUAUUAUUUAGCUCGACUUAUAAAUGACCGGAGCUGACAACGCGACCUUUCAGGUUCCAAAUUCCACUAGAUAGAAUUCGUAUUGAUACUAUGAUAUGAUCUGCUAAUAUCGGUUAAUUUAGAUAUUUUAUAUGAAUUAAAGAAUCAAUCCUAUUCAAACCGAAGCUGAAGAGUUAAACGGGUAUUAAUCAUUAUUAUAUUCCAAUCCUAAGCUGAACAUUAACAAUUUUGUCACCCGAAUCUCUAAAAAAAAGCCCGUGAACUGAUAUUCUGUGUUUAUUGUUUUUUUGACGGUGCCGCGUAUAGAAGGCCCGGCAAGAAAACAAUUCAUUUAGACGCCAUAUUUCCCAAAGUGUUAGAGACACUAUAGCCAGCUUUGAUUGGAGGGAAAGUUGCAUCCAGCAUUUUGUGAAAAAUUUGGCAUACUUCUAAAGAAAAUUGAUUUUCUUGACAAAAACAAAUGUGUGGUAUUUUAUAUCGUAUCCAUUCGGUGUUUUAGGAUUAAAGCACCGAAGUCAGUCCGUUUUUUGUUCGGCUUAUGCAAGCCGAAAUUAAACACGUGCGAAAAAAUACAGAACUAAAGCUGACUUGUAUGAAGCCAUCUUUGAAAAAAAUGAAACCUGAUUAGCAAUGGCCAAACGUUUUACUGAUUUUAAAAAAAUAGGUGAUAAAGAAUAAAAAAUUGGAAAAAAGUG